GGCAACGUGGCCGAGUGGUUAUGGCGUGUGACUCAAGUGUGACAGCUUGCCUGUUGUGGGUUUCUCAUCACGUAAUGUGGCAUGGGUUCGAAUCCCAUCGUUGUCA